UCAGCUAUCAGAGAUUAGCAAAAUUCAAGCGGAAACUCUAGAUGGCGUUUAUGUGCAUCUAUGAUAAAUAUCAUGAAUGACAGGUUAAAUGGGUGUUUGUUACGUUACCCUGUUAUGUGUUUUAAAGGAUUUUUCGUCAAAAAAUUUACGAUUGCUGUUUGUACGUGGUGUUGUUUCGCCUUGUCAGCAAUGCCAGCGCCUGAACCAGCAGCCUGCAUUCCUGCUAUCAAUGUACCACAAGGGAUCCUGACACUUUAAGAAAGCCACUAUUCCUUACAUGAAGAUCACCAUCCAGUUCAAGUACUGUUAAUGGACCUCAAGCCUUUUGUUUAAGCUUAGUGAUGUGUUAUCUUGUCAGUCAACAACAGAGUCUUCAUCUACUUUGUGUUGCUAACCAUCAGCCCUCAGCAUCCCAGGUAUCCAGAUUUCCAAGUUUCUCUGAUUAGCCAACCAUCAUCCAUACCCUUCAGCUCUUCAAUGUGGCUUCUUUUCCUCUCUUCUUAGUCUGCUGAAUGCCAACAUUGAAUAAGGUUCAUCGUCAUUGCCUUUCCAUGGUAUUUUCAUUUGGUGGAUUAUCUAGCUGCUGUUCUUCUCACCAUUACUUAGCCAGCUCACGUGGAUAGGCUUUAACAACAUCUCCAUUUUUUGGACUGCAAAUAUUCAUCUUCCUUCGGUACAACUCUGCCGUUUGACAAUUUCGGUAGUUUUCCCCCCCAGUGGACCACACGCAACUACAUUUUCUUCGUCUUUCUGUCGUUGUUGUCUACGACUUCACCUCAUCGCUGUCUUCGUUGACGUCUUCGCCUUCAUCUCCGUCUCGUCGUCUUGGCCGUCUUCGAUUUGGUUUCAUCGUCGUCUUCGCCGUCUUCGCCUUUUUUUCAUCGUCGUCUUGGCCGUCUUCGCCUUUGUUUCAUCGCCGUCUUGGCCGUCUUUUUCUACGCCAUUACUUCGUCGCCGGCUUCUCCUUCGCGUUCACCGUGGAUCGUCGUCCUGGUAUUGUUUUAUUUUGCAUUGUUAUGUUUAAGUUAACCCGUUGGCUGCCACCCCGUUUGCGUCCCAUUUUUUUUGUAGCUUGUAGGGACCGGCCGCAAUGGCCUUCGCCGCAAGGCGCCUUAGGCAA
rnacentral:lncRNA from 1 species